UUUCCCUGGGGGAUAAGCCCGAAGAAAUUUGGAUUAAUACCCCCAUAGUAUAGUAGUGUGGCCUUCACACAACUAUUAAAGCCUUGGUGGUGAAAGAUGAGUAUGCGUUCUAUUAGCUAGUUGGAGAGGUAACGGCUCCCCAAGGCUAUGAUAGAUAGGGGUUCUGAGAGGGAUGUCCCCCACACUGGUACUGAGAUACGGACCAGACUUCUACGGGAGGCAGCAGUGAGGAAUAUUGGACAAUGGUCGGAAGACUGAUCCAGCCAUGCCGCGUGCAGGAUGAAGGUCUUAUGGAUUGUAAACUGCUUUUGUAAGGGAAGAAUAAGGGACUACGUGUAGUUUGAUGACG
rnacentral:rRNA from 1 species